rnacentral:rRNA from 1 species
AUUGAACGCUGGCGGCAGGCCUAACACAUGCAAGUCGAGCGGAUGAAGGGAGUUUGCUCCUGGAUUCAGCGGCGGACGGGUGAGUAAUGCCUAGGAAUCUGCCUGGUAGUGGGGGAUAACGUCCGGAAACGGGCGCUAAUACCGCAUACGUCCUGAGGGAGAAAGUGGGGGAUCUUCGGACCUCACGCUAUCAGAUGAGCCUAGGUCGGAUUAGCUAGUUGGUGGGGUAAAGGCCUACCAAGGCGACGAUCCGUAACUGGUCUGAGAGGAUGAUCAGUCGCACUGGAACUGAGACACGGUCCAGACUCCUACGGGAGGCAGCAGUGGGGAAUAUUGGACAAUGGGCGAAAGCCUGAUCCAGCCAUGCCGCGUGUGUGAAGAAGGUCUUCGGAUUGUAAAGCACUUUAAGUUGGGAGGAAGGGCAGUAAGUUAAUACCUUGCUGUUUUGACGUUACCAACAGAAUAAGCACCGGCUAACUUCGU